AAAGGAGUUUGAGGACUCCACCUGUGCAAGCUGAUCUCCCAGACACAGCGUAGAGUGGAGAUGGGUGGAAAGCCAGUCUGGAGAGACACAGAGAAGAUACUCUGCUCAGCCAUUCUUAGAGGUCCUCAGCUAUUCAAGUGUAGCCAGGGUGAAAAAUUGCAACUCUGGUGAGCACAAACUCGGAUACGUUGAAAUCUAUGUGGUGUUCUGUUAAAAUAUGGCUUUGGUCCUCAUU
rnacentral:lncRNA from 1 species